rnacentral:ncRNA from 1 species
CAUUGCAUGAGCCGGUGUUCGUCACAUCCGCUGUGCGACUGAAGACCGGAAGAGCUUCUGAAGUUGCGCAGUGUGGCGAUCUGAGAUUAUACGGCUGAACUUGAUCUGGAUAAUUCCAGCGAAAGAAUCAUGCAGAGCGUUGAG